UGAUUUCGAGAGUUUUGUUACAGAUCUAUGGGUGAAUUUUUUGGGUUCAUGUUUAUAAUUGUGUUAAAUACAUGUUGUAAAUUUGAGCUUGAUCUAACGGUUGAACUAAGAGAUAUUGAGGUUUAAGUGAGUCAAGGUCUUAGAAAGUAGAAUUUUAGGUCCAAUGAGGAUUUUUAAGAUUUCAUGCAAUCUACUGGUUGGAUUGGAGUAAAACUUAUGUGAGAGGAUAUUAUACUUGUUUUUCUAUGUCCUUGAGAAAUUUGAAACCAAUCGAAUGGCACAAAGAAGAGAAAUUGGCUCUGGAAGGUUGGCAACAAGUUUGGAGAAGGAGGCUGACUAACAUCCGAAUACAUUUUUGAGGUUUUCGUCAAUUUGGUAACUCCGAUCCUUUUCAAAAAAAAUUUACUUGUUUUGAACUUGAUUUUUAAGAAGUGUACAAAUUUUAAAUUGAGAUCAACGAUUUAUUCAUUAGAUAUUGAGGUUUAAAUCUGUUAUAGGAAUUACUAGGAUUUGGAUUAGGGUUUGGCUAGGGUUCGGUUUAGGAUUUGGAUUAGGGUUUGGAUUAGGGUUUAGGAUUUGGUUAGGAUUUGAUUUAGGAUUUGGAUUAGGAUUUAGUUAGGGUUUGAUUUAAGGUUUGAUUUAGGAUUUAGAAUUUGGAUUAGAGUUUAGGGUUGGAUUAGGGUUUGAUUUAGGGUUUGAUUUAGGGUUUAGGAUUUGGAAUAGGAUUUAAUUUAAGAUUUGUUUAGGAUUUGACUUAGGGUUUAGGAAUUAUUAGGGUUUAAGAUUUAAUUAGGUUUGGUCUAAAGUUGAAUGAAAUUCAAUAGGGUUUUAACUAGAAUUAAAUUAAGGUUGAAUUGACAUAUAUUUGAGUAAAAUUUGUGAUCAUUCUAAUAUUUCUUUAAGAAUUUUAUUGUUUGUUUGAAAUUUCUUUGAGUUGUUUUGAAUUUGAUUAUGUUUUUUUAUCAUUAUUAUAGUCUAAUUAGAGCAUUGUUAGUAUUCUAUUUAGGAUUUUGUUAU
rnacentral:lncRNA from 1 species